rnacentral:rRNA from 1 species
GCGGUUAUACAAAUUAUAUAAAUAAAUUUUAUUAGUAAAUAAUUAAAUUUUAUUGUUAUUAAUAUUUUUUUUUAUUUUAAAAGUAAAAUUUUUAAUUUAAAAUAAUUUAUUAAAAAAAUUUAAUUGAAGUUAUAAAAAUUUUAUUAUAAACUAGGAUUAGAUACCCUAUUAUUUAAAUAAUAAAUUUAUAUUACUAAGGUAAUAAUAGUUAUAAUCUUUAAACUUAAAAAAUUUGGCGGUAUUUUAGUCUAUUUAGAGGAACCUGUUUUUUAAUCGAUAAUCCACGAUAAAUUUAACUAAUUUUAUUAAAAAUUUGUAUAUCGUCGUUAUCAGAAUAUUUUAUAAGAAAAUUAAUAUUCAAAAAUUUGUAUUAAAAUUAAUUUCAGAUCAAGGUGCAGUUUAUAAAUUAGUAAAAAUGGGUUACAAUAAAAUUAUUUAUAUGGAAAUAUAUUUGAAAAAAUAAAUUGAAAGUGGAUUUAAUAGUAAAUUUAUUUAAAUUAAUAAAUUGAUUAUAGCUCUAAAAUAUGUACAUAUCGCCCGUCGCUCUUUUUUUUAAAAAAAGAUAAGUCGUAACAUAGUAGAUGUACUGGAAAGUGUAUCUAGAAAGAU